UAGAAUUUGGUGUAAUUGGGAGCACGGAGAGUUUUGGAUUCUUAGGAGUAGGUUCGAUUCCUAUAGUUCUAG
rnacentral:tRNA from 1 species